GUGAGGAAUUUUCCGCAAUGGGCGAAAGCCUGACGGAGCAAUGCCGCGUGAAGGAUGAAGGCCUAUGGGUUGUAAACUUCUUUUCUCAGAAAAGAAUUAUGACGGUAUCUGAGGAAUAAGCAUCGGCUAACUCUGUGCCAGCAGCCGCGGUAAGACAGAGGAUGCAAGCGUUAUCCGGAAUGAUUGGGCGUAAAGCGUCUGUAGGUUGUUUAAAAAGUAUUCUGUCAAAGAUUAGGGCUUAACCCUAGAUAGGCAGAAUAAACUUUUAAGCUAGAGUUUGGCAGAGGCAGAGGGAAUUCCCGGUGGAGCGGUGAAAUGCGUAGAUAUCGGGAGGAACACCAAAGGCGAAGGCACUCUGCUGGGCCAAUACUAACACUGAGAGACGAAAGCGAGGGGAGCAAAUGGGAUUAGAUACCCCUGUAGUCC
rnacentral:rRNA from 1 species